CGUAGCUCCGUUGGUAGAGCAUUGGACUAGCAAACCAAAGGUCACGGGUUUGAUUCCCACCGCGGUCAAACAAAUUUUUCAGCGGCUUACUCGAUGUGGACACACUCACAAACAUAUCUUCACCUCACUGCAUAACACCAGAAACAAAAAAGUAUUCAGGGCUGUCAUUGCUUGAGCUUAGAGGUACAGUACUAUACAGUACGUGGUCAAAAAAUGAUUGUAGCAUGC